UAAAGCUUCAAACUGGGAUUAGAUACCCCACUAUUCUUGAUUGUAAAUAUAACUAAAUUUACCAGAGUACUAAGAAUGUUUUAAAAAUUUAAAACUCAAAGGGCUUGGCGGUGUUUUAGACCUAUCAGGGGAACCUGUCUCGUAAUCGACAAUCCACGUUAUACCUAACCUUAUUUUGUAAUUCAGUUUGUAUACCGUCGUCGUCAGGUAACUUUUAAAAACAUAGAAGUUAGCGGUAAAAAUUCUGUAAAUUAAGACGUCAGAUCAAGGUGCAGCCUAUAAUAAGGAGAGGAUGGGUUACAAUUAUUAAAAUUAUAAUUACGGAAGUUUAAAUGAAAGCGUUUUCAGAAGGAGGACUUGAAAGUAAAAUUAAAAUAUCUAAAUAAAUUGAAUAAGGCUCUGAAACGUGCACACACCGCCCGUCACCCUCUGCAGUCAA
rnacentral:rRNA from 1 species